rnacentral:tRNA from 1 species
GACUCCGUAGCUCAACGGAUAGAGCGCUACCCUCCGAAGGUAGAGGCUGCGAGUUCGAAUCUCGCCGGGGUCA